CACGUAGGGCGCAAGCGUUGUCCGGAAUUAUUGGGCGUAAAGAGCUCGUAGGCGGUCUGUUGCGUCCGCUGUGAAAACUCGGGGCUUAACCCCGAGCCUGCAGUGGAUACGGGCAGACUAGAGGUAGGUAGGGGAGAGUGGAAUUCCUGGUGUAGCGGUGAAAUGCGCAGAUAUCAGGAAGAACACCCGUGGCGAAGGCGGCUCUCUGGUACGUGACUGACGCUGAGACGCGAAAGCGUGGGGAGCGAACAGG
rnacentral:rRNA from 1 species